rnacentral:rRNA from 1 species
CUCGUAGGCGGCCAGACAAGUCCGUUGUGAAAACUAGAGGCUUAACCUCUAGACGUCGAUGGAAACUGUUUGGCUAGAGUCCGGAAGAGGAGAAUGGAAUUCCUGGUGUAGCGGUGAAAUGCGCAGAUAUCAGGAAGAACACCCGUGGCUAAGGCGGUUCUCUAGUACGGUACUGACGCUGAGACGCGAAAGCGUGGGGAGCGAACA